AUGCAUGGUUUUCCCGGUUUCAGGUAAACCCAUCAUUCUGAGGUAAUAUAGAGCAUCUCUAAAUGUUUGGUAUCUGUACUCGCGACCACCUGUACCAAAGUACGUACGAGUCUUCCAGCCUAAAGAAGAGAGGCUACAUGAAAAACUGAGAAAUGAUGAUACCAUGUACUUAGAAUUUCUACUUCUUGCGGUUAUCCUUUGUGUGGCCAGUGCUCGUCAGUGUUCGUGGGGACAGUUUGGCGACAGCUGUGAAAGAAACUGUUCCUGCCAUUGCGCCCUUGUGAAAACAGUACGGCAAAACACUGUAACAAAACAAGUGGAGAGUGCUCAGAGGGAUGUAUUCCUGGAUCGUAUGGUAUAGAUUGCAAGAAAAACUGCAGUGAAUACUGUCUCAACAAGAUAUGUAAUCAACAAAGAGGACACUGCACCCAAGGCUGCAUA